AGCGGGGUAGAGCAGAUGGUAGCUCGUCGGGCUCAUAACCCGAAGCGCACAGGUUCAAGUCCUGUCCCCGCAA
rnacentral:tRNA from 2 species